GUCGAGCUCUUUAUUAUUAGCCUCUUACUUAGCUGAUCUCACGUGACACAUGUUCUUCUUACGACACAACUUGGACGAUGGAGCAGGUAUCGGCGUAUUGGUGAUACGAUUAGAUCUCUUAGACAGCGAGGCUGCGGAGGUUACCAUGGCUACUUCUACAGCAUAAGGCCAAUCCAGUCUGUGUAAUACACUUGGCGAAGUAAACGUUUUACUCCGCUUGCUAUUUGGACGCCAGCAUACAAAGGAGUGGUCAAUUUCACCAUUCAACGUGAAAAUAACUAUCGUCCUGCCCAUUUGGGAUAAGCAGGCUUGUAGCAACUUGUGGCAUCUGCGAGAUAAAACAGAUAUUAUAUUCCAUAAUAUAAUUUAUUUACGUCCGGAAGGACGUCAUUGUUUCUGGCAUAGAAAAAUACCAGGUGAACAGCCAAAUGGAACUAAUCCCACAGGUAGACGUUACUUGACGCAUGCUAUCAUUGUUAAAUAAGAGCAUUCUAAAUUUGGCCAACAAUAUGGAAGUAAAAAUUCGACACAACAAAGUGUCAGGAUUAACAAGUAAGGCAUCUAAUAAAAUAGCCAUCACCAAUUGGCUACUAAUAUCUUUCACUAAGGUGUGGCGUCAACCGAACUGCGAUAGUAGCGGAUGCUCAGACAACGCACAGGGAACGUCAACCGCUGAAAUUCUCAUUAUACGUAAAUCACUGCAGAACAAAAAGUCGAUACGAGUACAUCGAUGUCCAACAAACAUAAUAAAAAUUAAUGCGAUGCAACAUUAAUUUAUUGAAAAAGAUAACAGACACCAUGUAACAAACCAGAACCUAUCGUAUCCUGUUGAAAUUGCUAAAUUUAUCAUUUUAUCGAAUCCAAGAAAAGACACGAUCAGUUCGUCGAAGCAUACGCCAAUUUGCUAAAUAAAAACAAAGAUAGAAGACUUAUGUCAAACAUCAGUACUACCUCACGAAGGGUUCAUACACGAUCGAUGUUGCAAAAAAAUGCCGAAGGAGAAUUAGGGAACAGAGUAGGUGCAAAAGACGCUGAUAUUCGCAAUGGUUUUAAUGCGAUCUGCUGGAAUAUCGGUAACAGGCCAGAAGAAACAGCGAUUUGCCCUUAUAUAAAUUAAUGUCAAAUUAUUUGAGAGGUAGGUAUGUGAUGCUGACUCGAUGAGCGCAAUGGUCCUGCAAGGGCCAGUAUUGGGCCUUCUGCUGUGAAAAAUGGAGUAGGAUAAUAUACUUAACAAAAAGUUUUUCCGCGGACGAUCUGGCGGUAGUCAUUAUAUUAUAGUAAGAAACGACUCUUAACUCGAUAUAAAACUAGACAAUCUAGGUGUUAUCAAAGCCUGGAUAAAGGAUCGUAGAUAACUAAAAUUAGGCCGCGGGAAGAUGGACCUGGUACUGUUGAACAAAGGGAAAAAUACGGUAGCAUAAAAGGCCCCAUUAACGGUCGCGCGAACCUUCCACAAAAGGAACUAAAAUACUUUGGAGUCAUCGUAGACGACUCAGUCCCAAGGACAGGCCAUGUCAGCUACACGCUACAAAAGCAGUUAACACAGUAGCGAGAAUCAGGUUCAUAAAAAAAUGCCCUGCCACAGAAAUGAGGAAAAUUCUAGCAACAAUCGCUGACGUCAUCACAUUUUAUGCCGGGCCACUACGGAAAAAUUCAGGAGAAGACCUAUAGGUUUAAAUUCAAAAAA
rnacentral:lncRNA from 1 species